rnacentral:rRNA from 6 species
UCUCCGUAGGUGAACCUGCGGAGGGAUCAUUAC